AUUUACUAACCACCGCAAUAUGUUCUAGAAGAGGAGCUAAUAUAAAAGAAGUCAAAGAAAUACCAAUUAGUCGUCAUCUCUUGCUUUUUGCCAGACAAAUAACUUGCAAAGCUAAGAACGAAACCCUCCAAACACACCACCAGCAUUGCCUUGUUCCAUCAGAAUUUAAUGUGUACAUUAAGCUUUUCUUCCAUCGAGGAACCGUGCUCUGAUAACUACCUUGUUAGUCAUUGCCGAAGGCAAAGAAAUCCCAUUUACGGGGCGAGGAGUUGCAGCUGGAAGCUAUGUUGGGCAAAAAUAGUUUGGAAACAUAAUAUGGUCGGCAAAAAUAGAAUGAGGUAGAAGGCAUUUUCUUGAAACGCAGUACUUGCCAUAGACCUUUUUAAAUCAAAGUCUGUGUAAAAGUAAUGGCUUUCCCUUUGAGCUUUUCUUCUUCCUAGAGCUGGGUUCGUCUUUCAUUUGUCUUGAAUCAAAUAAAAUAUUUUCUCUUCCUUUGUUUUCUUGUUUGCCACUAACUGAAGAAAAUGGUGGCUUUUUCUUGUGGUUGUUUGCACAUUCAUUUACUGUUGGGUUUUUGCAAGAAAAGUGUGAAUAUCAUUGACGGCAAGUGGAGAAUAUAUAGAAUCUCGUUGUUGUCUGCCAAUCUGAUUUUUUCCUAGAGAACUCCACUUCAAACCAGCCAUUUCAUGGCGGAGUUUUUCACUCCUUCCUUCGGCAAGAAUUAUUUUCCAUAAUGGAUUUUUCAACUCGGGUUUCCUCAACCCUUUUGUUGGAAAUAGUUACUCUUUUAUAGUAACUUGGUGCGACCAUUUUUCAUAGCCGUUUUUCCCUUUCCUUUGGUGGUUGAUUCCUUCCAUUUUUGGUAAAGAAGCUACUCGAAGAAAUUCCAUUUUCCUGCUGCUGUCCUUGCUCUUUUUCCUUUUCUGUUGGAUUUGUACUUAUUUCAACUGUAGUUUUCGUUUUUUGAAGAAAUUUUUCAGAUUCCAGUAGCUAUAUUUUUGCCCAAAAACAACCAUUUUCAUGGUGGGUUUUUCAACCCUUUUGCCAGUGGUCAUUUCUUCUCUUUUUUGGGUUGCUGUCUUUGCUUCUUG
rnacentral:lncRNA from 1 species